rnacentral:misc_RNA from 1 species
GAUCAUUAACGCGCAAGAGGUCGAAGUUGGCCCCCGAAGCUCUUCCGUCUCCCCCCCGGGCCUCCCGGGGAGGUUGCGGGCGGCGAGGGGUGCCUCCGGCCGCACGCCCAUUCUUGUCUACUGACCCGGUUGCCUCGGCGGGCCGCGCCUGCUGUGCUACAGCGGCCGUUCGGGGGGGACGCCUGAGGGGGACUCUUGUUUCCUAGGCCACGCCCCGGGCAGCGCUCGCCGGAGGAUUACUCUGGAAAACACACUCUUGAAAGAACAUACCGUCUGAGCGAGCAACGCAAAUCAGUUAAAACUUUCAACAACGGAUCUCUUGGUUCCGGCAUCGAUGAAGAACGCAGCGAAAUGCGAUAAGUAAUGUGAAUUGCAGAAUUCCGUGAACCAUCGAAUCUUUGAACGCACAUUGCGCCCCCUGGCAUUCCGGGGGGCAUGCCUGUUCGAGCGUCAUUUCAACCCCUCAAGCCCGGCUUGUGUGAUGGACGACCGUCCCCCCUCCCCAGUAACCACCCACCGCUUAGGGGG